UACGUAGGGUGCAAGCGUUGUCCGGAAUUAUUGGGCGUAAAGAGCUCGUAGGCGGUUUGUUGCGUCGGCUGUGAAAUCCCGAGGCUCAACCUCGGGUCUGCAGUCGAUACGAGCAAACUAGAGUGUUGCAGGGGGGACUGGAAUUCCUGGUGUAGCGGUGAAAUGCGUAGAUAUCGGAGGAACACCUGAGGCGAAGGCGGGCUACUGGGCUGAUACUGACGCUGAUGCGCGAAAGCUAGGGGAGCAAACGGG
rnacentral:rRNA from 1 species